rnacentral:rRNA from 1 species
GAUGAACGCUGGCGGCGUGCCUAAUACAUGCAAGUAGAACGCUGAAGGAAGGAGCUUGCUCUUUCCGGAUGAGUUGCGAACGGGUGAGUAACGCGUAGGUAACCUGCCUGGUAGCGGGGGAUAACUAUUGGAAACGAUAGCUAAUACCGCAUAACAGUAGAUGUUGCAUGAUAUCUACUUAAAAGGUGCAAUUGCACCACUACCAGAUGGACCUGCGUUGUAUUAGCUAGUUGGUGAGGUAACGGCUCACCAAGGCGACGAUACAUAGCCGACCCGAGAGGGUGAUCGGCCACACUGGGACUGAGACACGGCCCAGACUCCUACGGGAGGCAGCAGUAGGGAAUCUUCGGCAAGGGACGGAAGUCUGACCGAGCAACGCCGCGUGAGUGAAGAAGGUUGUCGGAUCGUAAAGCUCUGUUGUAAGAGAAGAACGAGUGUGAGAGUGGAAAGUUCACACUGUGACGGUAUCUUACCAGAAAGGGACGGCUAACUACGUG